AUUCUGCCCAUGCGGGGAAGGAUGAGAAGCUUCGACCAAGGUUCGACUCGAGCGCCAGCGAGAGAGCGUUGCCGCAGGCAACGACCCGAAGGGCGAAGCGCGCAGCGCUGAGUAAUCCUUCCCCCA
rnacentral:sRNA from 2 species